CACCAUCUCCUCCUCCUUCUCUCUGCAACAAGAAAAAAAAAGCCAUUUACAGGGGGUGAUGUGCAACUAAUUAAAGGCAGACUAGCAGCGUCUGCAAAUUCUAAGGCUCCCCAAAUAAAAAGAGACUGUUGUAACAGUUGGAGGAUAAUGGUAAGGAAGAAGCCUGGGAAUUCACCGUCUGUGGAAAUGCGCCCCGGAGAGGAGUAAAGCAGUCCUCACCUUGCUCUCCCCAUCCGGACCCACUUCCCCUUCCCGCCUCGGCCCCCACCCCAACACCACCAUC